UACCGAGGCUCCGCCUGCAGGGCCCGCGGAGAGCUCACAGUUAGGGCAAGCUGGCAGCUGUCUGACUGGACCUGAUGCCACUGGGCCUGGUAGGAAGACAGAAUAUCUGUUUUGGACCUUAACAGGACUUUGCGGAAUCAGAAAAGAACCUGCUGUUGUACCUGGAAAAACAAAAGGAAGCUCUUUAUGUACACACAUGAUAAGAACGCAGAGAAAUAUUAAUGAGUAAAAACUGACAGUGACAAAAAAAAUCUAACAUCACUUAUAAAAACUAACUUGAAAUAGAUCAUAGUCCUGGAUGUAAGAGCUAAAACGAUAAAACUUAUAAAAGAAAAUAGAGAAGAAAAUCUUGGUAGCCUUGAAAUUUCUUAGAUUCAACAGCAAAAGCAAGAUACACACUCACACACCAAAAGAAAACCUUAAUAAAUUGGUCUCCAUUGAAACUAAGAACUAGGCCAGGCAUGAUGGCUCAUGCCUGUAAUCUCAGCUCUUUGGGAGGCUGAGGUGGGAGGAGUUCACGGCCAGCCUGAGCAACACAGUCAGACUCUAUCUUUAAAAAAAGUUUAAAAAUAAAAAUAUAUGCCAGGCAUGGUGGCAUGGACCUCUCAUCCGAGUUACUCAGGAGGCUGAGGUGAGAGGAUCAUGUGAGCCCGGGAGUUCAAGGCUGCAGUGAGCUAUGAAUGUGCCACUGCACUCCAGCCUGGGUGACAGAGUGAGACCCUACCUCAAAAAAAAAAAAAAGAAAAGAAAAAGGCAACUAAGAUCUACUCCUCUUCAAAACACACUACUAAGAGAAUGAAAAGAUAAGCCACACAGUGGGUUAUCCUUCUGUGGGAGAAAAUAUUUGCAAAUCACAUAUCUGAUAAAGGGCUUGUAUCUAGAAUAUGAAAAGAAUUCUCAAAAUUAAAUAAUGAGAAAGCAAACAACCCAGGUGUAAAUAGACGAAAGAUUUGUGCACUUCACCAAAUAAGAUAUACAGAUGGCAAAUAAGCAAUCUGUUCAAAAGAUGUUCAAAAUCAUUAGUCAUUAGAGCAAUGCAAAUUAAAACUACAAUGAGAAGAUGGCUGACUAGACACAGGUAGUAUGUGCCUCCUUCAUGGAGAGGAACCAGAAGAGUAAGUAGAUAUAUUUUAAAGAGAUUGUCUAGUAGAGAAUGCUAGGACUCACCAGAGAAGUGAUGGGAAGCACCAGAAGUAAAUAAGGAGAGGGUUUGGGGACUGACUGAGAGCCCCAAGAGGCUCCUGGAUGCUGGGAAACAAUAAGAGAGAAAUCCCUAGGGCUCCACACUCCAAAAAGAGCUUUUAUGAUCUUGGCUGUGCAAGAAAACCCCAACUAGCUUAGGACCUCAGGCCUGAUAUAUGGAGCUGCCUAAAAUUGCACAGAUAUAUUGCUCCAGAAAAGAAAUCCACAUGGAAUCCUACAGGCAUCUGAGACUACAGCAGCCUCAGCCAGGCAUUAUUUUGAUAGUCUAGAUACCGGGGAUCUACAGACAUGGCUGCAGCUGUUGCCCUGCUCCAAAAAGGGAGAGGGGAGACCAAGUGCUCUCACACACCCCUGGGAGAGUCCCUACCACCCUUCUGUGGGCUGCCGUUGAGACUGAGACAUGAACCCAGCCAAGGAGGAUCAGGGAAACCAGGCUUUCCUAUACGUAUCUAAGACAAUACCACUGCCCUGCAGUGGGCUGCUGUGUGACUGAGAUGUGAGCGGAUUGCAUUUCCCCACAGCUUCUUGCUCACACUGCUUGCCUGGAACGUGCCCUACCCUCUCUGGUCCCAGGCCCAAGGCACCAUUUUGAGAGUUUAAUGUUGGGCUACAUCCUGCCCUUAGGCUGAGUUCAGACUGAUGCAGCUGCACCUGCUGCCCAUCCAAGAACAGACAGGGAAACCAGGCUCUCCUACACAUACAUAGAACAAUUGCCACUGCCCUGUGAGAGUUCAAAACCAGCCUGGACAACAUAGUAAGACCCAAUUUCUACAGAAAAUUUUUAAAAAUUUGCUGGGCAUCGUGAUGUGCACCUAUAGUCCCAGUUACCCAGGAGGCUGAAGCAGAAGGAUUGCUUGAGCCCAGGAGGUUGAGGCUGUGGUGAGCUGUGAUCGCACCACUGCACUCCAGCCUGGGUGACAGAAUGAAACCCUGUCUGAAAAAGAGAGAAAGAAAUUAAGAUGGAAAUUUUAAAAAAUUUUAAAAUGAAUGAAAAUGAAAGCACAACAUAUCAAAACCUGUGGGAUACAGCAAAAGCAAUCCUAAGAGGGAAGUUUAUAGCAUUAAAUAUAUAUAUCCAAAAAGUAGAAAGAUUACAAAAUAAUGACUUAAUGUCACAUCUCAAGGAACUAGAACAAGAACAAACCAAACCCAAAGUUAGCAGAAGAAAAGAUAUAAUGACGAUUAGAUCAUAACUAAAUGAAAUAGGGACCAAAAAAAAUCAAUGAAUGAAAAGUUGCUUCUUUGAAAAUGUAAGCAAAAUUGAUAAGCCACUAGCUAGAUCAAGAAAGAAGGGAUCCCAAUAAACAAGUGGAUAUGAAAAAUGAGACAUUAAAAUGAUACCACAGAAAUACAAAAGAUCAUCAGAGACUAUUAUGAACAACUGUAUGCCCAGAAACUAGAAUACCUAGAAGAAGUGGGUAAAUUUCUGGAAACAUACAAUCUUCUGAGAUCCAACUAGGAAGAAACAGAACUCCUGAACAGACAGAACAAUAAUGAGUAGCGAGAUUGAAUCAGUAAUAAAAAAUCUCUCAACAACAACAAAAAAAGCCCAGAACCAUAUGGAUUCACAGCCAAAUUCUACCAAAUAUACAAAGAAGAACUAUUGCUAAUUCUUCUGAAGCUAUUUCAGAAAAUAGAGGAAGAGGGAAGUCUCCUUAACUCAUUCUACAAGGCCAGUAUCAUCCUGAUACCAAAGCAAGACAAGGACAUGACAAAAAGUGAAAACUAUAGACCAGUAUCCCUGAUGAACAUUGAUGCAAAAAUCCUUAACAAAAUAUUAGCAAAUCAAAUUCAACAGCAUAUCAAAAAGAUAAUACACCAUGAUCAGGUAGGAUUUAUCCCAGGAAUGCAAGGAUGUUUCAAUGUAUGCAAAUCAAUAAAUGUGAUACAUCACAUAAACAGAAUUAAGGACAAAAACCUAUAUGAUCAUUUCAAUACAGACAAAGCAUUCAAUAAAAUUCAGCAUCCCUUCAUGAUAAAAAUCCUCAAUAAACUAGGCAUAGAAGAAACAUACCUUAACAUAAUAAGGUCAUAUAUGACAAACCCACAGCCAACAUCACACUUAGUGGAGAAAAAUUAAAAGCAUUUCCUCUAACUGGAACGAUACAAGGAUGCCCACUUUCAGUACUCUUAUUCAACUUAGUACUGGAAGUCUUCACCAGGCCAAUCAGACAAGAGAAAAAAAUAAAAGGCAUCCAAAUUGGAAAAGAGGAAGUCAAAUUAUUCCUGUUUGCUGAUGAUAUGAUCUUCUAUCUAGAAAACCCUUUGGGGUUUUUUGGCUCCUCCAAAAAAGCUUUUAGAUUUGAUAAAUGAAUGCAGUAGUUUCAGGAUACAAAAUUAAUGUACAGAAAUCAGUAGUGUUUCUAUACAACAAUAACAAUCUAGCUGAUGACCAAAUCAAAAAGGCAAUCCUAUUUACAAUAGCUACAAAAAAAAAAAAAAAAAACCUAGGAAUAUAUUUAACCAAGGAAGUGAAAGAUCUUUAUAAGGAGAACUACAAAACAUUGAUGAAAGAAAUAGUAGAUUAUGCAAAUGGAAAAACAUCCCAUGCUUAUGGAUUGGAAGAAUCAAUAUUGUUAAAAUGACCAUAGUCCCCAAAGUAAUCUACAGAUUCAAUGCAAUCCCUAUCGAAUUACCAAUGUCAUUUUUCCCAGAAUUAUAAAAAAAUCCUAAAAUUCAUAUGUAACCAAAAAAGGGCCUGAAUAGCCAGAGCAAUCCUAAGCAAAAAGAACAAAGCUCGAGGCAUCCAUUACUCACUUUGAAUUAUACUACAAGGCUAUAGUCACCAAAGUAGUGUAGUACUGGUAUAAGUAUAUACACAUACAUCAAUGGAAUAGGCUGGGCAUGGUGGUGCAUGCCUGUAAUUCCAGCACUUUGGAAGACAGAGGGUGGAUUACUUGAGGCCAGAAGUUGGAGACCAGCCUGGUCAACAUGGUGAAACCUCAUCUCUACUACAAAAAAAAAAAAUCAGCUGGGCAUGGUGGUGCACACCUGUAAUCCCAGCUAUUUGCAAGGCUGAGGCAUGAGAAUUGCUUGAGGCUGGGAGGCUGGGGCUACAGUGAGCCGAUGUCACUCCACUGCACUCCAGCCUGGUGACAAAGUGAGACUUUCUGAAAAAAAAAAAAUCAAUGGAAUAGAAUAAAGAACCCAGAAAUAAAGCCACAUACCUAUAACAAACUGACCUUUGACAAG
rnacentral:lncRNA from 1 species